rnacentral:rRNA from 1 species
AGAGUUUGAUUAUGGCUCAGAUUGAACGCUGGCGGCAUGCCUUACACAUGCAAGUCGAACGGUAACAGGUCUUCGGAUGCUGACGAGUGGCGAACGGGUGAGUAAUACAUCGGAACGUGCCCGAGAGUGGGGGAUAACGAAGCGAAAGCUUUGCUAAUACCGCAUACGAUCUCAGGAUGAAAGCAGGGGACCGCAAGGCCUUGCGCUCACGGAGCGGCCGAUGGCAGAUUAGGUAGUUGGUGGGAUAAAAGCUUACCAAGCCGACGAUCUGUAGCUGGUCUGAGAGGACGACCAGCCACACUGGGACUGAGACACGGCCCAGACUCCUACGGGAGGCAGCAGUGGGGAACUUUGGACAAUGGGCGCAAGCCUGAUCCAGCCAUGCCGCGUGCAGGAUGAAGGCCUUCGGGUUGUAAACUGCUUUUGUACGGAACGAAAAGACUCCUUCUAAUAAAGGGGGUCCAUGACGGUACCGUAAGAAUAAGCACCUGCUAACUACGCGCCAGCAGCCGCGGUAAUACGUAGGGUGCGAGCGUUAAUCGGAAUUACUGGGCGUAAAGCGUGCGCAGGCGGUGAUGUAAGACAGAUGUGAAAUCCCCGGGCUCAACCUGGGAACUGCAUUUGUGACUGCAUCGCUGGAGUGCGGCAGAGGGGGAUGGAAUUCCGCGUGUAGCAGUGAAAUGCGUAGAUAUGCGGAGGAACACCGAUGGCGAAGGCAAUCCCCUGGGCCUGCACUGACGCUCAUGCACGAAAGCGUGGGGAGCAAACAGGAUUAGAUACCCUGGUAGUCCACGCCCUAAACGAUGUCAACUGGUUGUUGGGUCUUCACUGACUCAGUAACGAAGCUAACGCGUGAAGUUGACCGCCUGGGGAGUACGGCCGCAAGGUUGAAACUCAAAUGAAUUGACGGGG